rnacentral:rRNA from 1 species
UUAAACGGCCGCGGUAUUUUGACCGUGCGAAGGUAGCAUAAUCAAUUGUCUUAUAAUUGAAGACUGGAAUGAAUGGUUGAACGAAAUUAAAACUGUUUCAUUUAUAUUAAUUAGAAAUUGAUUUUUAAAUGAAGAGAUUUAAAUUUAAUUAAUAGACAAAAAGACCCUAUUGAGCUUUAAAUAAUUUUAAAAUUAAAAAUUUAUUAUUAUAGAUUUAAAUUUUAAAUAUUUUUUGGUUGGGGCGACUAAGGAACAGAUGAAGCUUCCUUUAUUUGUUAAAUUGAUAAAUUUUGAUCCAGUAUUAAACUGAUUAAUAAAAAUAGUUACCAUAGGGAUAACAGCAUAAUCUUCUUGGAGAGUUCUUAUCAAAAGGGGGGGUUGUGACCUCGAUGUUGGAUUAAAAUAUCCUAAGGGUGUAGAGGCUUUUAAGGGUUGG